AAAACAAUACAGAAAACAUUCAGUUGGAGAAGUUUGGUUUUGGAAAGUUUGAUCAAAUCAACAUUUUAGGUUGACGAACUUGAAUUUGAAUUCUGAUAGUUCCAUUAGGUCUGGAAGGUAAUUUUUUACUUAGUUAGGUAGUUUGCAAGAAUCCUGGAGAUUUUAAGAGUGAUUUAGGUCAUUGAUUGAAUUAAAAGAGUCAAGGUUGACCACAAUAAACAUUUGGUUAAGACAACAUUGAUUUGAUGAUUCGAACAAAUCCAAAGUUUGUUUCAUGGUCAAUCUGCAUAUCUCAUUUAUUUCUGUAGAAUUUCGAACGAAUCACGAGGGUACAUUCAGAGAUUUGGUUGAAGUUUGGUUUUGUUGUCUCUAGUGCCUGCAAUUUCGUGUCGUGAUCAUGGAUGCGUGUUGCGUUCACGUAAUGUUCACUUUCGUGGUCAUCGCAAUUGUUGAAGGGGUCUCACAUUCGCGUAGGGUGGUUGGCUGGGUACGGGGUCGAGUCGACUUUUGUUCUUCGCAAUAGAGGCAUCACUCUCGUGAUGGAUUGGGUUUGAGUCAGCAUCUCGCAUUUUCGAAGAAGGGUCAUGUUCAUAAAGAAAUUUUACCUGGCAGUGUUAAAUCUCCAUUUCCGAUUUCAAACUUCAUAACUCAGUUUUUAAGCUUGAGAGCUCGGAUUUUGACGAUUUCAAAGGCAUUGCACUAGCUUUUGCUAGGGGAGACAGGUUUAAGAGAUCGUCAAUAGGAGCACCAUUGAGGAUCUAUUCACACUCAGUGUAUUGGUGAGUCCCCCCUACAUUCGGAGGACAUCGCUUAUGUUAUUCUUGCGUCGAGUUAGCCCUUCUCAUUUUGAUUUGAGGUAGCCAUGGACAUGUCAUUGGCACCAAUUAGAUAGUAGUGAUAGAGGCUUCAUAGACUAGAUAGUGAUGGGUCGAUUAAGUACUUUCUUUCCUUGAAAUAUUCUUGUCAAACUAUUUUUAACGACAUAGAUUGGAGUUAGAUUUGUUGGCCCAUGACUUUAUUAUAUGAAUUAGAGUGUUGAUUUGAGCUGCCCACUAAA